GAUGAACGCUGGCGGCGUGCCUAAUACAUGCAAGUCGAGCGAACGGACGAGAAGCUUGCUUCUCUGAUGUUAGCGGCGGACGGGUGAGUAACACGUGGAUAACCUACCUAUAAGACUGGGAUAACUUCGGGAAACCGGAGCUAAUACCGGAUAAUAUUUUGAACCGCAUGGUUCAAAAGUGAAAGACGGUCUUGCUGUCACUUAUAGAUGGAUCCGCGCUGCAUUAGCUAGUUGGUAAGGUAACGGCUUACCAAGGCAACGAUGCAUAGCCGACCUGAGAGGGUGAUCGGCCACACUGGAACUGAGACACGGUCCAGACUCCUACGGGAGGCAGCAGUAGGGAAUCUUCCGCAAUGGGCGAAAGCCUGACGGAGCAACGCCGCGUGAGUGAUGAAGGUCUUCGGAUCGUAAAACUCUGUUAUUAGGGAAGAAACAUAUGUGUAAGUAAACUGUGCACAUUC
rnacentral:rRNA from 1 species